UCAAGAAAACACUAUCUGCUGCCUAUUACAUCUGUUCUAGGAUGUGUGAUUGAUAUGUUGCACCAACAGGCACUCACCUACAGUCUCACCUGAAACUUGAGACUCUGCCAACAACUGUAGGUGUUAAGCCUAAACUUAACCACUGCUGAGACAGAAUUGACAUGGCAAGUUGUUUUGUGCUUCAAGGGUGGAAGAUGGGAAAGGUCAAAGUCCUCCUACUGGAAUGCUGGACCUCCAAGUUAUGACUCUUCUUUUGGGCCAGUCUUGGUGUAGCAAAUCUUCCUAUGAGCUGUGCUGAGGGAUACUGCUGAAUGCUCCAUCUGUCCUCCUUUACUCUCUGCUGCCAGUAAAGCAAUUCAAAAGAAAUAUUGUGUGCUUUCAGUAUGUGGUCUUCACCUGGAGAAAUUGGUCUGGUGUAGCUUCAAAAACUGAACUUAUCUGAACAAUGUCCAUCAAUCUGACAGAUACACUGCUUUAUUAAAUUACUUAAAGACAAUGACAAAGCCCAUAACUAUGAAUCUUAAUCUUAAGGAUCUCAGUUCUAAUUUGUACACUGUCUUCCACUAGAUUAGCACAGAUAAAGGAUAAAGUGAAAAGCUGACUCUGUGUACAAAUUAGACAGAACACAGCAAAGCCCAAAAUCAAUAAAAGCAGCAGAAAGUCUGCUGUUUUCCUUUAGACAUUUACUCAUGGAGUGAAGACAUUUUUAUCAGCAGGUUACCUGGAUUACAGAGCAGACUUUAUGGGAUUUUCCCUUUCAAAGAAGAAUAAUUUUAUUGUGAAAACAGUAGUUUUCUUCUUCUUAGCAGAUAAAAAGGCACAACACAUUUAUAAAUAUAAUAAAUUCUUGUGAUGCAUUUUGAACCUCCCUAAGAGAAAUUCCACUGAUGGAGAAAGGGAAUACAUGGUUUUUGGGUACUGGCGAGCCAGAAAACAACUCCUCUCAUGUGGGAAUUUCAAGACCUCUCUGUCAUUAGGGCAUUCAAACAUGGUAUCCUCUGUAGUGACUGAAAGCUUGAAAAGCUGUAGUAUUUUUUUUUCCUUAUAUCCAGUUGGAUCUUCCCCUGUUUCAAUUAGUGACUGCUGUCAGUUGUUCUCCCACAUUCCUUCAUUAAAGAACCUUGCUCUGUUCUCUUAUCUUAACUAUUAGAAAAUUGCUGUUAGGUUCCCCCCAGGAUGUCUCUUCUCCAGACAAGAAAGUCACAGGGCUGUAUUUGAGACAUGCUACUCAUUUGUGACUCAAGUCCAACACCAAAUUGUUUGUUUGUUUUAUUGCCAUCCUUCCAAAAAGACAUCAGUGAAAAUGAAGUGUCAUUUUGCUGAAAUAAAGUGCCAAUGUGGAAAGUCAAAACAGCAUUAAUGCAUUAAAAAAACCAAAACAACCCAAAGUCCACUUCUUUAUAUAAAUAUAUUCCUGGGAACAACUUGAUAAUCAAUGCUAAAUUGAGGCUUAAAUGCACCUGAAAAAUACCUAGUCUUUAGUAGAAAUUAUAGCUUUUUAAAAUAACAGUAAUCAUAUUCUUUCUACAUCUGCACACAGAACUCCUACCUAAACCAGAAGUCAAGCAUUACUAAAUUUAUAUUCCUUUGAAGAGGGAAUUUGCCUUUUCAGUAGUAGCCUUCACAAUGAAGGCACUUUUAUAGUGACUGUCCCUGCUACAUCAGUUAAUGUGUGCAGAACACCUCCAGGCUCAUCAGCUGGUGUACUCAUUUUAGCUGUACAGCUUUUUCUGUAUCUCUUCCCUACCCAAGGAAGCUCUGGCUCCUGUAAAUGGAAAGAAACAAAAAAUCUCUAGAGAAGACUACUUUUCAAACUGUGUAUGUGUGUUGGUUUUCCUUAGAGCAGAGUUAAUUUUCUUCAUACUGGCUAUAAAGAGGCUGUAUUUUGGAUUACUGCUGGAAGCAGUGUUGAUAAAAGGGGUGUUUAAACUAUGACUGAGCAGGGUUUCACAGUGUCAAGGCCUUUUCUGCCUCUCACCCCACCAGUGAUAAUGGUAUGACAACUCCUGUGUUUGCACCAUGAGAAAUAAAAAAAAAAAAUUAGGUUUAAGUUGCUUAGUACUGAAUUACCUCUUUGUAAAA